rnacentral:rRNA from 1 species
CAGCAGCCGCGGGAAUACAGAGGGUGCGAGCGUUAAUCGGAUUUACUUGGCGUAAAGCGUGCGUAGGCGGCUUCUUAAGUCGGAUGUGAAAUCCCUGAGCUUAACUUAGGAAUUGCAUUCGAUACUGGGAAGCUAGAGUAUGGGAGAGGAUGGUAGAAUUCCAGGUGUAGCGGUGAAAUGCGUAGAGAUCUGGAGGAAUACCGAUGGCGAAGGCAGCCAUCUGGCCUAAUACUGACGCUGAGGUACGAAAGCAUGGGGAGCAAACAGGAUUAGAGACCCCCGUAGUCCCUGUCUCUUAUAC